AUUAUAGUUUGGCCCUGUAACGGAAUGGGAUCCGAAGACUCCCGAAGAUACCAUCCAACUCCUAUUCCGACACGUCCACGCCGUGCAGGGUGGUAACAUGGGGCCAAACCUAACCUUUUGGGCGGGCGACGGCUCAUGGCUAAGGAGGAAGGU
rnacentral:ribozyme from 1 species